rnacentral:lncRNA from 10 species
GCAAAUGGACUUUCCACUUGGCCAGUGCAGUCUUCUCUGCUCCUUACUGUACACGUGGCUGUCAAGGAGAAGAGAAGAAGGAGCUGCCAUUUUGAACAUGUCUAGUCCCAGCGCCACUGCAACUCCAGCUUGGACAACAGGCUGGAGACCCUGUCUCCAAAAAUGAAAAAACAAAACAAGAGUCCAAUAUGGAAGUCAGUCAGGGGGCCUGAAUUCUUAGACUCAAAUGUGCUUCUGACAGACACGCUGGAGAGAACGUCUUUCCUUGACAGCGCCUGCCUCCUGUCAUUUCAUCCCAACACUUUGCCCAGCCCGGGAAAUCUGGAUUUUCUUUUUAAAGAAAGAUGUCUAGAGAGAAAAAUAGAAAAUGAACAGCCAAUAGAAAGUGCAACAGAGCUUGUUGAUUUGGUUCUGUCAGAUGCCCCAAGUGUUCGUGAAGCAGCUAUACUAAGUGACAUUCAAACGUUGGUAAUGAGGAGACAUCUGCAUAUACACUGGUUUUGAAACAUCAAGCACUGGAGAAGUUAUGAGCUGUCAAUCACUUUAGCUGUCCUCCACCCUGUGUUUAUUCAGAAAUAAUUUUCAAGGCUGCAGAAAGUGUUGUUACUAACUGAUGAGCAAGUUUGAACACUGAAAAUGAAGAAUGAUUGAUGUUCUUUUAGGUAAGCUGGAAAACUCUCCAUCCACUAGAGGCAGCCACAGCUCGGGAUGCUGAUAAAGUUCUGACACAGGGAGUGAGUGAUGAGUGGUGUGUAAAAGUUCUGACACAGGGAGUGAGUGAUGAGUGGUGUGUAACGUGCUGAAAACAGGAAGCUCUGACAACAAUGUGAAGAGGAACCUUCUGAACACAAAUUCUAUGGCUCCAAAUAAGCAAGUUAAUAGUCCUGAUAUCUUGACUUGAUCUACAGAAGAAACCCCACUCAGGAUAACUUUUACUUUUCUGGUGGAAGAGACAAUAAGAAUAAAGACUCACUAAACGGUAAUAAAAUCCUCUUUGACUUACUAAUUGGUUGGUAAUUUUGAAAUUUUCUAAUCUGAAUGUUUAACUCCAAAUAGUUUUCAUCCUGUCAUAUGUUACAGUAUUAACAGUUAUAGAAAAAGAACAGGAAUUAUUAGAAACAUUAAAACUAUUCAAAUCUAGGAAAUGUGGAUCUUAGGAUUUGUGUCAGGAAACCAACAACCUUAGGAUGUGCCCCACAGUUGGCUUUCCUGAACCGUGAUCCCAGAAUGCAAGAAGUCAACCCAAUACAAAUCCAUGCUUUCUGACAAUGGCAGAAAAUUUUUUGGCCAUUGUCCAUUGACUGACUCACAAGCUGUGACAAUGUCCCACCAUUACACUCCACCGACUCCCCCGCAAGGCUGUCACCUGUCUUUACCUGCAGCAGCUGCAUAUAUGCACACAUUUAAUAACACUUAGUGGGGGCAUGUUCUGUUCUAGAAACGGUGCCUGCUCCAAAGAUACGGUGGUGAACAAAAUAAAAAUGCUCCCUGUCUCUAUGGAACUCAGAGUCUAGCAGAAGACAAAGACACAAUGUGAAAUACACAUUUCAAUAAGUGCUAUGAAAGAUAGGUUGUACAGUGAUAUGAAAGGGAAUAACAAAGGGAUGCAAAAGAGUUAUGAAAGGCCUCUCUGAGGAAGUCAUGUUUAAGCUGAAAGGUGAAGGUUGCCUAUAAGAAGGUCAGGCAAAAGACAGGGUGUGUGAGUGGGGAAACAUUCUAGGCAGAGGUAACAGCAUAUGCAAGACCCCAUGGAAGAUUAGAAAAAGGAAACAGCACCAAGAUAUGACCUAUUUUCCUUAGAUGACUGAGGGAAUUCAAAUUCAAUGAAUACCUUCUUUAUCUUAAAAGCUAAAGCCUUUACAUUUAUUAUAAAUAGGGAUUUCUAUAAAUCCUGUCAACUCCCACUUAUCCUGUAUUCUCAAUCCUGUAUUUAUUCACCAACAUCUUUGAGCUGUUUUCUCUGGCCUUAUCCUUAUUCUUUCUAAGGUAUAUCUAUCUUUUUUAGCAACCCCGAUAAUUAGAUAGGAUAAUCUGUUGAGAUAUUAAUUUGUGAUUUGUAUUUCUGAUUUGUGCUAUAGAAGACUUGAAGGAUUAGAAGGGACUUUCCUCCUACUUCCUUCACUGGAAAGACAACCAGGCCUUUAUCUUCUAAGAUCUUUUUUCUAUUUUCAAGCAAUUAACAGUUUAUUUUUGUAUCAGAACAUCCUGUCCCAUCCCUCAAGAUCUGUUGCGCAAAAUGUAGGCCCAUCGGGAGGAAGAAAGUUGAGGAGAGGGGUGAUUUGCCUUGCUGGCAACUUAUUGACAUGUCUUUGCCAUGCUCCUACUCAGGAAAUUAGAUCCCAUGACCUAUAAAAUUCAGUCAAAACUGCAGCUAAACUCACACCCUCUGCUAUAUUGGACCUGAAGUCUCUGCAGCCAUUCUCCUCUAUUGCCACAUUCAUCCCCCGUACCAAGUCGUACCCCAUCAAUUCUGCCUGUCCCAUAAUUCAUCUCAAGCUUAUUUUCUUCUAUGCUGUUUCCCUUUCCCACUUUUUAAUUUCACCCUUAUUUUAAUCUCUCAUUUUCCUGUUGUUUCAUAGUGAAACCACUUUGCAAAAUUAUAACUGAGGAAACUAUGACAGUGAAAGACAUCAGACCUAACUGAUUCCAUCUUGCUUCUAACGUUUAAGCUGUCCUUGUUCUUUCCUGGGCAUAGGCCAAACUAACUUUGGGAAGGAAUUCAGUUCAUGGUUUGACUCUGAAACAAAUUGGAACCAGCCCUUUCCUGAAAAACCCCGUUUCUUCCUUGGAGACCAGUCUGCCUUUGCAGGACUAACAACUUAGCUACAACAUUAGAAAUCACAGUUUAGGGGUCAUGCAGUCUCUGGUUCCAAGAGUUUGAACCUCCCGAAAUUGCUCCUGGGGAUAAUAUCGGUAUUGUGAAACCUAAGAUCAGUGCUUAAGACCCUGCACUGGAUGGAUCAGCUGACACCACCCAGAGUGGUAAUCUGGCUCAACCAGUUCUGCCAUCCCUCCCAAGAACAGAAAACAGCAAAAAACAAACAAACAAACAAACAAACAAAAAAAACUCACUUCGACUCCCACUGCCCCCCAUGAUUCCAUCUCCAACCUGACCAAUCAGCACUCCCCACUUCCCAAGCCCCUACCUGCCAAAUUAUCUUUAAAAACACUUAUCAUCAAAUGGCUCAGGGAGAAUGAUUUGAGUAAUAAUAAAACUCUGGUCUCCCGCACAGCUGGCUCUUCCUGAUUUACUCUUUCUCCAUUGCAAUUCCCCUGUCUUGAUAAAUCGGCUCUGUCUAGGCUGCGGGCAAGGUGAACCCAUUGG